UACGGAGGGGGCUAGCGUUAUUCGGAAUUAUUGGGCGUAAAGGGCGCGUAGGCGGCCCGGUAAGUCAAAGGUGAAAUCCCUCGGCUCAACUGAGGAACUGCCUUUGAAACUGCCGAGCUAGAGUGCGGAAGGGGCAACUGGAAUUCCCAGUGUAGCGGUGAAAUGCGUAGAUAUUGGGAAGAACACCUGAGGCGAAGGCGGGUUGCUGGGCCGACACUGACGCUGAGUGCGCGAAAGCCAGGGGAGCGAACGGG
rnacentral:rRNA from 1 species